AGCAGCCGCGGUAAUUCCAGCUCCAAUAGCGUAUAUUAAAGUUGUUGCAGUUAAAAAGCUCGUAGUUGAAUUUCGGGGUUAGUAGGUUGGUCAUGCCUCUGGUAUGUACUGGUCUCACUGAUUCCUCCUUCCUGAUGAGCCGUAAUGCCAUUAAUUUGGUGUUGCGGGGAAUUUGGACUGUUACUUUGAAAAAAUUGAGUGUUUAAAGCAAGCUAACGCUUGAAUACAUUAGCAUGGAAUAAUGAAAUAGGACGUUCGAUCCUAUUUUGUUGGUUUCUAGGAUUGACGUAAUGAUUAAUAGGGAUAGUUGGGGGCAUUAGUAUUCAAUUGUCAGAGGUGAAAUUCUUGGAUUUAUUGAAGACUAACUACUGCGAAAGCAUUUGCCAAGGAUGUUUUCAUUAAUCAAGAACGAAAGUUAGGGGAUCGAAGACGGUCAGAUACCGUCGUAGUCUUAACCAUAAACUAUGCCGACUAGGGAUCGGAUGAUGUUAAUUUUUAAUGACUCAUUCGGCGCCUUACG
rnacentral:rRNA from 1 species